ensembl:snoRNA SNORD23 small nucleolar RNA, C/D box 23
UGCCCAAUGAUGACACCCAUCCUUGCUCCCCGUGCCCCUCAGGGGCUGUGGGCGACACCAUGGCUGCCCCAGGCUGGGCCGGUUGGGCUGCUGCCGGGGGCUGAGGGCA